rnacentral:rRNA from 1 species
GGUAGUCCACGCCGUAAACGAUGGAUACUAGUUGUUGGCCGUAUCGACCCGGUCAGUAACGAAGCUAACGCGUUAAGUAUCCCGCCUGGGGAGUACGGUCGCAAGAUUAAAACUCAAAGGAAUAGACGGGGACCCGCACAAGCGGUGGAGCGUGUUGUUUAAUUCGAGGCUAAGCGAAGAACCUUACCAGGGUUUGACAUCCUAGGAAUUACUGUGAAAGCAGUGAGUGCCUUCGGGAACCUAGUGACAGGUGUUGCAUGGCCGUCGUCAGCUCGUGUCGUGAGAUGUUUGGUUAAG